rnacentral:lncRNA from 1 species
GAAGGCGUCUUUUUCCCUACUUCUGGGGAAGAGCAUGGAGUCCUGGCAAUCCAGUGUUUAAUAGACAUUUUGGAGGAAGGCACCAGCUUGGGAGAAGUACGUGGGCUGGCUCCACUCAGCUUUGCUGGUGUGCAGGCUGUGGCCAUUUGAGUUUUGAGAGAGACUGUUGGAGUGUUUGUAGAAAGAGGAAGGUCUCCAGAAUAACUGGGAGCACAGGCAGCUGGACGUGGUGAGGAAGCACAUGGGCUGCCCACUGAGAAGGCCUUGGCAGGAGUACUCUGGGGGCUGGCUGAUCGUCCUGCUCCACGUUGUUCCUCUGGUUUCUUCUGUGUGACCCAGCCCACCAACUUGGCUUUGUUGGACACUGAUUUUUCCUCCUCAGGAUAAUGCUGUAGGCGCCAGAUCC